CAACCCCAACCUCGAUGAAGACGGAACAAUAGGUAAUCGAAGACGAAAAGAGGAUUUCCUUACUCCUCGAACCUUCGUCGUUCCUGAAGAGUCUGAUGCUGGAAAAUGAUUGACCCUCGAACUCUGGAAAAAACUUAUUCAAUUUUUUAUUGAUAAUAUGGAUUGCUUUGCUUGGUCCCAUUUAUAUAUGAUAGAGAUUCCACCAGA
rnacentral:lncRNA from 1 species